ACAUUAGUCUCAUAGUGGAUGCCAAUAUUGUGGUCGAGAGCUCGUGGCUAAGAUAGAUCGGUCUUCACUCCUACGUACGUAAAGUAUUAUCUGAUUCGACUUCUAGUCGAUAAGACAUGGAACCUCACGAUUUUACCUUUCAAAUGGCAUAUCACAGAGGAGAGAAGAUCCUAUUCUAUAUAAGUCAAAAUAUCUUUUAACUCACAAUCAAUAUGAAACUAAUAAUGUUUUUCCUCCUAUAUCACAACAAGAAUCAUAAUGUCUUUAAUAGAUUUUCAGGACCAUACCACCCG
rnacentral:lncRNA from 1 species